rfam:Felis catus isolate Cinnamon breed Abyssinian chromosome D3, whole genome shotgun sequence.
GCCUGGGUGGCUCAGUCGGUUGAGCGUCUGACUUCAGCUCAGGUCAUGAUCUCACGGUCUGUGAGUUCGAGCUCCGCUUUGGGCU